rnacentral:rRNA from 1 species
UACGGAGGGGGCUAGCGUUGUUCGGAAUUACUGGGCGUAAAGCGCACGUAGGCGGAUUGUUAAGUUAGGGGUGAAAUCCCAGGGCUCAACCCUGGAACUGCCUUUAAUACUGGCAAUCUCGAGUCCGAGAGAGGUGAGUGGAAUUCCGAGUGUAGAGGUGAAAUUCGUAGAUAUUCGGAGGAACACCAGUGGCGAAGGCGGCUCACUGGCUCGGUACUGACGCUGAGGUGCGAAAGCGUGGGUAGCAAACAGG